ACUACGGGAGGCAGCAGUAGGGAAUCUUCCACAAUGGGCGAAAGCCUGACGGAGCAACGCCGCGUGGGUGAAGAAGGUCUUCGGAUCGUAAAACCCUGUUGUUAGAGAAGAAAGUGCGGGAGAGUAACUGUUCACGUCUAGACGGUAUCUAAUCAGAAAGCCACGGCUAACUACGUGCCAGCAGCCGCGGUAAUACGUAGGUGGCAAGCGUUAGCCGGAAUUAUUGGGCGUACCGGGCACGAAGGCGGUCUUUUAAGUCUGAUGUGAAAGCCUGCGGCUUAACCGUAGUAGUUCAUUGGAAACUGGGAGACUUGAGUGCAGAAGAGGAGAGUGGACCUCCAUGUGUAGCGGU
rnacentral:rRNA from 1 species